GAUGAACGCUGGCGGCGUGCCUAACACAUGCAAGUCGAGCGAACAGACGAGGAGCUUGCUCCUUUGACGGUAGCGGCGGACGGGCGAGUAACACGUGGAUAACAUACCUCUAUGUCUGGGAUAACUUCGGGAAACCGGAGACAAUACCGCAUAAUAUAUCCAACCGCAUGGUUCAAUAGUGAAAGACGCUUUUCCUGUCACUUAUAGAUGGAUCCGCGUCGCAUUAGCUAGUUGGUAAGGUAACGGCUUACCAAGGCAACGAUGCGUAGCCGACCUGAGAGGAUGAUCGGCCACACUGGAACUGAGACACGGUCCAGACUCCUACGGGAGGCAGCAGUAGGGAAUCUUCCGCAAUGGGCGAAAGCCUGACGCAGCAACGCCGCGUGAGUGAUGAAGGUCUUCGGAUCGUAAAGCUCUGUUAUUAGGGAAGAACAAAUGUGUAAUUAACUAUGCACGUCUUGACGGUACCUAAACAGAAAGCCACGGCUAACUACGUG
rnacentral:rRNA from 1 species